AUCUCUUCCUUCUAGCUAAGUUGUGAAAGUCCCUUGAUUUAACUUUCCAAAUCUAUCAAUAUUCACUAGAUUGACAAGAAUCAAAUUGAAGACUUUAUUCUUACACUGUAUGUAAUGAACAAUUAGACUAAUAAUGAAUAGCAUUGGAACCCAGAAGGAAAUAAUUAAGCAGCAUCAAGUCCAUUGUCUAGAACAGCAUCCUUGAUGAGUUUAAGAGAUUGUUCAAGAUCAUCACAGAGCUUGUGAGGAUGAGGAAUCACAUCUACAUCAACUGCCAGAACAAUAGUCAUCUUGUUGGAAUAGCUUUGGAAAUGGAUUGUCAGAGCAUGAGGAUGGCCAUAAACACUGGGUGCAAUGAAAGCCAAUGGAUGACCAUAAAAGCUAACUUCUUCUACAGGACCAACCACAUUGGAAAAUGCCAAGGUUGUGUUCGAAAGAAAUCUGUGUGCUAUGGCUGCACCUACCUUAACUCCCAAGGUGCAGAGUACGAGCUUGGCAAUUUGAAAAGUGCAAAAGGGUUCGAGUGAGCGCUUCUUUCGAUCAAUUGUGGCUUUAGCUUGUCGAACAUAGUUUAAUGGGUCAUCUUGCAAGGAAAUGGUGAAGGGCAGGACAAGAUACCCAAUCCGAUUACCCCAUCCCCAUUUGACCUUCGACUCCUUACCCAUCAAAUCAGCCAAUGUCUGAAUUCCUAGAGCUGGUCUUAAAUUA
rnacentral:misc_RNA from 1 species